ACAAGCGGUGGAUGAUGUGGUUUAAUUCGAUGCAACGCGAAAGCCUUACCACCUUUGACAUGUACGGAAUCCUUUAGAGAUAGAGGAGUGCUCGAAAGAGAGCCGUAACACAGGUGCUGCAUGGCUGUCGUCAGCUCGUGUCGUGAGAUGUUGGGUUAAGUCCCGCAACGAGCGCAACCCUUGUCAUUAGUUGCUACAUUCAGUUGGGCACUCUAAUGAGACUGCCGGUGACAAACCGGAGGAAGGUGGGGAUGACGUCAAGUCCUCAUGGCCCUUAUAGGUGGGGCUACACACGUCAUACAAUGGAUGGUACAAAGGGUCGCCAACCCGCGAGGGGGAGCCAAUCCCAUAAAGCCAUUCGUAGUCCGGAUCGCAGUCUGCAACUCGACUGCGUGAAGUCGGAAUCGCUAGUAAUCGUGGAUCAGAAUGUCACGGUGAAUACGUUCCCGGGUCUU
rnacentral:rRNA from 1 species